rnacentral:misc_RNA from 1 species
GACGAAUUCGAGUUUUGAUAAUAUUAAUGAAGUUCGGAUUCAAGUGGAGUAAUUUUCGUAAGUAUUCUAGCCAUGGCCAUUCCUACCCAAAGGAAUGACUGUGAAUUGCCACCGUACAUAAUAACACGUCGAGCUUUGGGCUAUUGUUACUACUACUCGAUGACACUGCAUUGUUCACUGACUAGAAUAGAAGCUACGUUUCUUUCUGAUGUUCCAUCCUACAUAAGAUUGGCUUGGUUUAGCCAGCAAGCCAAAUCAUGCAAUUCCUUCCUUUCCAUGACUCUUUGAAUCCACCGCCUGCGGAAUUCAUGCAUCAACAUAUCCAGUGCAACCAUUAUUCGCCCAUCGUCAUCACCGAAAAGCACGCCAUUCUGCAAUACUUCACCGCCGAUAUGCUCUCCCUCACUAGUGAUGUCAUUCGUGUUCCUUCCGGCCAUCAAAUUUGCUUUCUUCUACCAUAAUAAUAGGGGAGUAAGGCUUAGAGCCGCAGGCCGAAGAGGGUUUAGAUCCAGAGAGGGCUGCAGAUGAAGGCUUCUUGUUGGGCUUUAUGUGAACAACUGGGUGUGGUAGUAUUCAAUCCACUAGUAACUUGGAAAGAUAAAGAAGAGAUUAGGAUGCAUUUCUCGAUGGACUUCAUAAAUCAC